UUAUUAAUUAAACGCAUUAUAUUUCAUUAUUAUUAUUCCGUUUUAGGGUUUUAAUUAAAAUCUCUAAUAUGGCAAUUCACGACAUUCAGGGCUUAUACUUAUAAUAAGGUGGCAACCCUGAUCCUACCUAAUCUAGAGAUCUUAAAGUAAAAUCUAAGCCGGUUAACGAAGCGGUUACUAUAAUUCUCGCGUUUGAGCAGAAAAUUAACGAAUUUAUGUGUUUGCCAAUAGAAUAAGUGAGAUGGUGAUCUCAUAACAGGGAAAGGUGAAAGUGUUGCGCUGGCGUAAACUUCUGUCAUUGCUCGUUUCCUUCCUUCAUAGAGGAUAUUACGUAUACUCUCUGCCUUUCUUGCGUUUCAAAUAUUCCUGACUUUUGUCGUGAGAACAAAAUCUUCCUAGUUGUGACAUAAAUUAAUUGUGACAUUUACAAAGGAAAGUAAAUAAUUUUUGUCGAAAAGCUUAGCCUUGUUUUUCUUUUCUUUUUAAUUCUUUUCUUUAUACAAAAUACCUGUUGAUAACUAUUAUUGAUUAGUGGUUCGAAUAAAUGCUAAGAUUUUUAAUCCUCUAUAAUUAAAUCUAACCUAACCUCUUCAUCGUCUCUAAAUUUUAAUCCACGAUGUAUAAUGUUGUGAAUAAGGCACAAAUGUGAAUAAGGCAAGAUUUGGAAAAACUUGAAAAAUAAUUCUGGGCCUUCUAAUUUUUCAUUUCAAGAAUAACCAUCUAUUAUUAAUUUUUAAAUCAGCAUGGAAAUUGUAUUACGCUUGCCCACAGAGUUCUCGCCUUGAUGUUCAAUACGAUUUCAUAGAAUAAUACUCGUUUUGGAUUAUGAAACACUGUUGCAGAGAGACGUGUAAUCAAAAGGAUUGUUGUAACAAUUAACGAGUUCGAACCAUUGCUGAUGUAGUGAAGUGUGGUCGAGAGUGUAUGAGAAUCGAUCACCACUUUAUUUGGGUUAAUAGGUUCUGGAAUAAGUCUUUGUAGGUUUUCACAGUAGAUAAAUGUUAUUAACAGAAACAAUGCAAUAAUCUCUGGAAAAAAGAAAAAAAAUAAGAGGAUUUGUUUUUAAAUCAAUCUUCCAAACCAACUUCUCUUGUUGAGCCAAAUAAUAAAAUUGAACACGGACAAUUAUACUAGAAACCACACGCAAAUGAAAACUAUUCGUACACGUUCGAACAUAUUAAACUCUUGAUAAAAAAAACCUUAUUGCAUGCAUUUGCUUCGAAGAGAAAACGCUUAAAAUAUCAUUUCCAUCAUACGCCCAGUCACGAAGGAAUUCAUGUUUUCCAUAGUUGAGGGAAAAAAAAACGCGAGAAAGUUUUUAAAUCCGUCGCAUUCGCUAUUGAAAACGCGUGGUUUGCGCGAUUCUUGGUCGUUGGAAGAAAAUUAAAAGAGAGAGAAAGAGAAAAAA